ACGGAAGGCAGCAGCUAAGAAUAUUCCGCAAUGGGGGAAACCCUGACGGAGCGACGCCGCGUGGACGAUGAAGGCCGGAAGGUUGUAAAGUCCUUUUAUGGCAGGGGAAUAAGCGGGGGAAUGGAAAGCCCUUGUGAUGACUGGAGGCCAUGAAUAAGCACCGGCUAAUUACGUGCCAGCAGCCGCGGUAACACGUAAGGUGCGAGCGUUGUUCGGAAUCAUUGGGCGUAAAGGGCAUGUAGGCGGUCUGUCAAGCCAGGCGUGAAAGCCAGGGGCUCAACCCCUGAACUGCGCUUGGAACUGGCGGACUGGAGUCGCUGUGGGGCAAUCAGAAUUCCAGGUGUAGGGGUGAAAUCUGUAGAUAUCUGGAAGAAUACCAAUGGCGAAGGCAGGUUACCAGCAGAUGACUGACGCUGAGGUGCGAAGGUGCGGGGAGCAAACAGGAUUAGAUACCCUGGUA
rnacentral:rRNA from 1 species